CUUGAGUGCCUUACUAAAUCAUGACCUGAAAAUGUCUUUGAAACCACAGGUCUCUUCUUGGAUAUUUUCAGAUGACAGAUGGUGUCAAGGUAGCCUUGAGCAACUGGAAGAGAAAGCCACCAACUCCAGUGCCAGACCUAACACAUAUGGAUCUGACCUGCACCAGCUACAUCAAGAUAUCCCAAUUCAUUAAGCUCUAUUUCCAGAACACACUUUUCUAUGAGGAGCUCUCCUGUUUCAAAGGGGUUAAGACUGAAGAAAGCUAAUCACACCACAGGAUGAAGAGAUUGUUGCACAGCUGCUCUCCUACGUUCACAUAGUACAAAGGGGAAACACAGAGUCUAAAGAAUGCACAUACUCACAUGUUCCAGACAGCAAUGAUUUGUGUCCUUCUGGAUACCUGCUUAAUGAAGUUUGGUCUCUGGAAAAUAUAUCUAGGACAGAGCAGGGUGCUGUUUUCCCUGCUGCAGUAUGAAUUAUAGUGACUGUUUCUGAA